CAACUUCCAACGAGGGAAUUCAAAGUGCGGGACUUGGGAUGUGCGCAAUGCGUGAGAGUUGACAGACCUACACAAACAGGGCGACUAUCACAGAAGAGGCCGAGGCAUCAAAUGGCUCUCGUCGCAGGCUGUAUAUCUGGUAAGAUCUCCAUGGUGUCCAGAACACCAGUCCUCAUGUCUUUGGUGAUCCCACGACAUCACAUCACAUUUAGCAGACGCUUUAAUCCAAAGAGACUUACAAUAAGUGAAUUCAACCAUGAGUACAAACUCAGAACAUCAAGAAAGUAAAAUUUCUUCAAGAAAGGCAAACUACAAAAUACCACCAGUACUACCACCAGUACUACCACCAGUAAGUGUCAUUCAAAUGCCACUGAAGUGCUAAUCUGUUUUAAUUCAAGUUAUAGCCAGAAAAGAUGCGUUUUAGGAGCUCGUUCCUAAACGAGGAGCUCGGCGGAUGUCCGCUACAUUAUUAACCUGCAUAUUGAAAACCACAUAAUCAGCCCUUUGGUUUAAAUUGAAGUGGAUGACUGUCGCCUUGUCUUUGUAAUCCACUCUGCCUCGCUCCCUUUUUACAGCAGAAGACCAAAAUCACCUGACGUUCUGACGAGCAGCACUCCAAACAAUAAUUCAAUUUGUCAGCGCUUUGCAUCUCUGUUCUCGCUCACAAGCACACGUCUACUUUCAAUCAAGCCAAAGCAAACCACACGGAGAGAGCAGGAGGCACAGAGGCAGAGAGAGGAGGAGGGAGGAAACCGUCUCCGAGCCCAGCAGCGUACACUACAUUCAUGCAGCUUCACAUCUUUUCAUGUACAACCAUGUUUUUGACAGGAAGUCGGUUUAAAAACAUAAACCAGAGUUUAGCUU